rnacentral:rRNA from 1 species
CCUACGGGUGGCAGCAGUAGGGAAUUUUCGGCAAUGGGCGAAAGCCUGACCGAGCAACGCCGCGUGAACGAAGAAGGUCCUCGGAUUGUAAAGUUCUGUUAUAGAGGAAGAACGGUGUACGUAGGAAAUGACGUACAAGUUACGGUACGCUGUGAGGAAGCCACGGCUAACUACGUGCCAGCAGCCGCGGUAAUACGUAGGAGGUGAGCGUUAUCCGGAAUCAUUGGGCGUAAAGAGGGAGCAGGCGGCCUGGAAGGUCUAUUGUUAAAAGGCAGUGGCUUAAACAUUGAAAGGCGAAGAAACCGGCAGGCUAGAGUACUAGAGAGGAUCGUGGAAUUCCAGGUGUAGCGGUGAAAUGCGUAGAUAUAAGGAGGAACACCAGUGGCGAAGGCGACGAUCUGGGAAGAAACAGACGCUGAGGCCCGAAAGCGUGGGUAGCAAAUAGGAUUAGAUACCCCUGUAGUC